AUUGAACGCUGGCGGCAUGCUUUACACAUGCAAGUCGAACGGCAGCGCGGGGCAACCUGGCGGCGAGUGGCGCACGGGUGAGUAAUAUAUCGGAACGUACCCAGAAGUGGGGGAUAACGUAGCGAAAGUUACGCUAAUACCGCAUACGAUUUACGGAUGAAAGUAGGGGACCGCAAGGCCUUAUGCUUUUGGAGCGGCCGAUAUCUGAUUAGCUAGUUGGUGAGGUAAAGGCUCACCAAGGCGACGAUCAGUAGCUGGUCUGAGAGGACGACCAGCCACACUGGAACUGAGACACGGUCCAGACUCCUACGGGAGGCAGCAGUGGGGAAUUUUGGACAAUGGGCGCAAGCCUGAUCCAGCAAUGCCGCGUGAGUGAAGAAGGCCUUCGGGUUGUAAAGCUCUUUUGUCAGGGAAGAAACGGUAGAGGCUAAUAUCCUUUGCUAAUGACGGUACCUGAAGAAUAAGCACCGGCUAACUACGUG
rnacentral:rRNA from 1 species